rnacentral:rRNA from 1 species
GUGUCAGCAGCCGCGGUAAUACGUAGGAUCCAAGCGUUAUCCGGAAUCACUGGGCGUAAAGCGUGUGUAGGUGGGAGUUUAAGUGAGAUGCGAAAUCCUGUGGCUCAACCAUACGGACUGUAUCUCAUACUGGACACCUUGAGGAUGGCAGAGGCAAGUGGAACUAGUAGUGUAGCAGUGAAAUGCGUAGAUAUUACUAAGAACACCAAUGGCGAAGGCAGCUUGCUGGGCCACACCUGACACUGAGACACGAAAGCGUGGGGAGCGAACAGGAUUAGAUACCCUGGUAGUCC